rnacentral:rRNA from 1 species
AUACGUAGGGGGCGAGCGUUGUCCGGAAUGAUUGGGCGUAAAGGGCGCGUAGGCGGCCCGGUAAGUCUGGAGUGAAAGUCCUGUUUUUAAGAUGGGAAUUGCUUUGGAUACUGUCGGGCUUGAGUGCAGGAGAGGUAAGUGGAGUUCCCAGUGUAGCGGUGAAAUGCGUAGAGAUUGGGAGGAACACCAGUGGCGAAGGCGACUUACUGGACUGUAACUGACGCUGAGGCGCGAAAGUGUGGGGAGCAAACAGGAUUAGAUACCCUGGUAGUCCACACUGUAAACGAUGAAUGCUAGGUGUAGGGGGUAUCGACCCCUUCUGUGCCGCAGUCAACACAAUAAGCAUUCCGCCUGGGGAGUACGGCCGCAAGGUUGAAACUCAAAUGAAUUGACGGGG